rnacentral:snoRNA from 1 species
UGAUGAAAAUUCUCCGGAAUCGCUGUACCUCUUUGAUGAUCCCUUGAACCCAUGUACUCUGAUGGCUGUCUUUUAGUCCUC